rnacentral:lncRNA from 1 species
CCGACCUUGUACGUGAUGCCUCUCCGAACUCCCUCGGCCGUCCGGACUUCUUCGACGAUGGGCCUCAGUGUUUGCCCAUCGGGCCGCCCCAAAGGUCCUCUGAGCCUCGCUGUUAGCCAUCCUUCUACAGCAAUCGACUACCCCCGAACUUAUUUCGGGCUUCGUCAGCAUCCGAGCUUUCCUGACAAUGAGAUUUCUACAGUAACC